rnacentral:rRNA from 1 species
ACAGGCGCNGCAUGGCUGUCGUCANCNCGUGUCGUGAGAUGUUGGGUUAAGUCCCGCAACGAGCGCAACCCUCGCCAUUAGUUGCCAGCACGUUUGGGUGGNCACUCUAGAGGAACUGCCGGUGACAAGCCGGAGGAAGGUGGGRAUGACGUCAAGUCCUCAUGGCCCUUAUGUCCUGGGCUACACACGUGCUACAAUGGCGGUGACAGUGGGAAGCCAGGCAGCGAUGCCGAGCUGAUCCUGAAAAGCCGUCUCAGUUCGGAUUGCACUCUGCAACUCGGGUGCAUGAAGGUGGAAUCGCUAGUAAUCGCGGAUCAGCAUGCCGCGGUGAAUACGUUCC